AAAAUAGAGCUAGAUGUUUAGUAUUUCACUUACGUUGAAAAGGGUGUUGGGCGAACUGACUUAUUUUGAA
rnacentral:tRNA from 1 species